rnacentral:rRNA from 1 species
UACGUAGGGUGCGAGCGUUUAAUCGGAAUUACUGGGCGUAAAGCGUGCGCAGGCGGUUUUGUAAGACAGAGGUGAAAUCCCCGGGCUCAACCCGGGAACUGCGUCCGAUACUGGGAGGCUUGAAUCCGGGAGAGGGAUGUGGAAUUCCAGGUGUAGCGGUGAAAUGCGUAGAUAUCUGGAGGAACACCGGUGGCGAAGGCGGCAUCCUGGACCGGUAUUGACGCUGAGGCGCGAAAGCUAGGGGAGCAAACGGGG